UUACGGCUACAUCACGUUGAAACACCGGUUCUCGAACGAACACUGAAGUUGAGCAACGUCGAGCCUGGUCAGUACUAGGAUGGGUAACCGCUUUGCCAUACCAGGUGCUGUAGG